UGAAAGCCCUCGGCUCAACCGAGGAAUUGCAGGACGAACCGCACGUCUUGAGGCGAGUAGGGGCUGUCAGAACGAUCGGUGGAGUGGUGAAAUGCGUUGAUAUCGAUCGGAACGCCGAAGGAGAAAUCAGGCAGCUGGGCUUGUCCUGACGCUGAGGUACGAAAGCGUGGGGAGCGAACGGGAUUAGAUACCCCGGUAGUCCACGCCGUAAACGAUGUGCACUAGAUCGAGGGGGCUCUGACGCCGCUCUCGGUCGAAGGGAAAUUGUUAAGUGCACCGCCUGGGGAGUACGGUCGCAAGGCUAAAACUCAAAGGAAUUGACGGGGGCUCACACAAGCGGUGGAGCAUGUGGCUUAAUUCGAAGCAACGCGAAGAACCUUAUCCUGGGUUUGACAUGUAUGGAUUAGCUCUGUGAAAGCAGAGUGACGCGGCUUGCCGUGGAACAUACACAGGUGCUGCAUGGCUGUCGUCAGCUCGUGCUGUGAAGUGUCGGGUUAAGUCCCUUAACGAGCGCAACCCCUGUCGCUAGUUGCUAGCAGGUAAUGCUGAGGACUCUAGCGAGACUGCCGGUGCCAAACCGGGGGAAGGUGGGGAUGACGUCAAGUCCGCAUGGCCUUUAUGCCCAGGGCUGCACACGUGCUACAAUGGUCGGUACAGAACGAUGCAAUACCGCGAGGUGGAGCAAAUCGCUAAAGCCGGCCCCAGUUCGGAUUGCAGGCUGCAACUCGCCUGCAUGAAGU
rnacentral:rRNA from 1 species